GGGCCCGCACAAGCAGUGGAUUAUGUGGUUUAAUUCGAAGCAACGCGAAGAACCUUACCAGGUCUUGACAUCCCAUGCAUAACUCAGAGAUGAGUGAAGCCCUUCGGGGCAUGGAGACAGGUGGUGCAUGGUUGUCGUCAGCUCGUGUCGUGAGAUGUUGGGUUAAGUCCCGCAACGAGCGCAACCCUUACGGUCAGUUGCUACGCAAGAGCACUCUGGCAGGACUGCCGUUGACAAAACGGAGGAAGGUGGGGAUGACGUCAAAUCAUCAUGCCCUUUAUGACCUGGGCUACACACGUAAUACAAUGGCACUUAACAACGGGAAGCAAUACCGCGAGGUGGAGCAAAACCCCAAAAGUAGUCUCAGUUCGGAUCGUAGGCUGCAACUCGCCUGCGUGAAGUCGGAAUUGCUAGUAAUCGCGGAUCAGCAUGCCG
rnacentral:rRNA from 1 species